GAAAACAGAAAGCAGAAAGUGGAAGGCUACAAGGAUUGCCGUGUGGAGAGCAUGCAAACAAUGUUGAGAGCUGCCACACGGUACUGCGAGGGUCUCAAAGGCACUAGCACACGGCAAAGUGGGACAGAAGAGAUGGAAUCGUAAUGUGAGAGGCUUGGGGGAGUGGGGGGUUGCGCUGAUAGCAUGGACUUUAAAUACAACCCCAGCUCCAAAAAAACUUGGGACGCUGUGUAAAAUAUACUCCAGAAGAUCUCUGGAGAGAGACUGGUCAUUCAUUUCAGACAGACAGAGGAACAGAUUGAUGGAUCUCUCAGUUGAGAUUUGAUAUUCUUCAUCCCUU